rfam:Alternaria alternata strain SRC1lrK2f unplaced genomic scaffold CC77scaffold_1, whole genome shotgun sequence.
AGCUGCUUGGCGCAGCGGAAGCGCGCCGGGCUCAUAACCCGGAGGACGCUCGAUCGAAACGAGCAGCAGCUA